CAGAGUUCGCAAGACUCCUACAACCCUUGUGAACUUACUGAAAGACGUUGCUUCGGCGGGUCGGGAGGCUCCUCACUGGGACUGCGCAGGGCGCGAAGCCCGAGGAAGCCUAAUACUCUUGUCUUUUGGUUGGCAUCUCUGAGUAAAGCUAUAAAUAAGUUA
rnacentral:misc_RNA from 1 species